rnacentral:misc_RNA from 1 species
GAUGAAGAACGCAGCGAAAUGCGAUAAGUAAUGUGAAUUGCAGAUUUCAGUGAAUCAUCGAAUCUUUGAACGCACCUUGCGCCUUGUGGUAUUCCACAAGGCAUGCCCGUUUGAGUAUCAUUAAAUCAUCAACUCUAAAACCUUUGUGGUUUUUUUUAGAGCUUGGUCUUGAGGGUUUUGCAGGCUUUUUUUUUUUUUUCGAGUCUGCUCCCUUUAAAUGCAUUAUCGAGACUUCCCUAUGCUGAACCGUCUCUUUGACGUGAUAAUUAUCUGCGUCGAAUUUUGGUUCUCGUUGGGCUUGCUUCUAAUCGUCUGUUAAAGACAAAACGGAUUUGGGUGCAUAUAUGCGCCUUUUUCCAAAACCUUUUUUUGAUCUCAAAUCGGGUAGGACUACCCGCUGAACUUAAGCAUAUCAAUAAGCGGAGGA